CAACCUCAACUCAUAUGGGACUACCCCCUGAAUUUAAGCAUAUUAAUUAGGGGAGGAAAAGAAACUAACAAGGAUUUUCUUAGUAGCGGCGAGCGAAAAGAAAACAGUUCAGCACUAAGUCACUUUGUCUAUAUGGCAAAUGUGAGAUGCAGUGUAUGGAGCGUCAAUAUUCUAGUAUGAGAAAUUAAUGAUUUAAGUCCUUCUUAAAUGAGGCCAUUUACCCAUAGAGGGUGCCAGGCCCGUAUAACGUUAAUGAUUACUAGAUGAUGUUUCCAAAGAGUCGUGUUGCUUGAUAGUGCAGCACUAAGUGGGUGGUAAACUCCAUCUAAAACUAAAUAUAACCAUGAGACCGAUAGUAAACAAGUACCGUGAGGGAAAGUUGAAAAGAACUCUGAAUAGAGAGUUAAACAGUACGUGAAACUGCUUAGAGGUUAAGCCCGAUGAACCUGAAUAUCCGUUAUGGAAAAUUCAUCAUUAAAAUUGUAAUAUUUAAAUAAUAUUAUUAAGAAUAAUGUGCAUUUUUUCCAUAUAAGGACAUUGUAAUCUAUUAGCAUAUCCCAAAUUUAUCAUAAAAUAUAACUUAUAGUUUAUUCCAAUUAAAUUGCUUGCAUUUUAACACAGAAUAAAUGUUAUUAAUUUGAUAAAGUGCUGAUAGAUUUAUAUUAUUACAGAGCGUUAAUUUUACGGAAUUAUAUAAUGGCAUAAUUAUCAUUGAUUUUUGUGUUUAUUAUAUGCUCUUGUAUGAUUAACAAUGCGAAAGAUUCAGGAUACCUUCGGGACCCGUCUUGAAACACGGACCAAGGAGUCUAACAUAUGUGCAAGUUAUUGGGAUGUAAACCUAAUAGCGUAAUUAACUUGACUAAUAAUGGGAUUAGUUUUUUAGCUAUUUAUAGCUAAUUAACACAAUCCCGGGGCGUUCUAUAUAGUUAUGUAUAAUGUAUAUUUAUAUUAUUUAUGCCUCUAACUGGAACGUACCUUGAGCAUAUAUGCUGUGACCCGAAAGAUGGUGAACUAUACUUGAUCAGGUUGAAGUCAGGGGAAACCCUGAUGGAAGACCGAAACAGUUCUGACGUGCAAAUCGAUUGUCAGAAUUGAGUAUAGGGGCGAAAGACCAAUCGAACCAUCUAGUAGCUGGUUCCUUCCGAAGUUUCCCUCAGGAUAGCUGGUGCAUUUUAAUAUUAUAUAAAAUAAUCUUAUCUGGUAAAGCGAAUGAUUAGAGGCCUUAGGGUCGAAACGAUCUUAACCUAUUCUCAAACUUUAAAUGGGUAAGAACCUUAACUUUCUUGAUAUGAAGUUCAAGGUUAUGAUAUAAUGUGCCCAGUGGGCCACUUUUGGUAAGCAGAACUGGCGCUGUGGGAUGAACCAAACGUAAUGUUACGGUGCCCAAAUUAACAACUCAUGCAGAUACCAUGAAAGGCGUUGGUUGCUUAAAACAGCAGGACGGUGAUCAUGGAAGUCGAAAUCCGCUAAGGAGUGUGUAACAACUCACCUGCCGAAGCAACUAGCCCUUAAAAUGGAUGGCGCUUAAGUUGUAUACCUAUACAUUACCGCUAAAGUAGAUGAUUUAUAUUACUUGUGAUAUAAAUUUUGAAACUUUAGUGAGUAGGAAGGUACAAUGGUAUGCGUAGAAGUGUUUGGCGUAAGCCUGCAUGGAGCUGCCAUUGGUACAGAUCUUGGUGGUAGUAGCAAAUAAUCGAAUGAGACCUUGGAGGACUGAAGUGGAGAAGGGUUUCGUGUGAACAGUGGUUGAUCACGAGUUAGUCGGUCCUAAGUUCAAGGCGAAAGCCGAAAAUUUUCAAGUAAAACAAAAAUGCCUAACUAUAUAAACAAAGCGAAUAUAAUACACUUGAAUAAUUUUGAACGAAAGGGAAUACGGUUCCAAUUCCGUAACCUGUUGAGUAUCCGUUUGUUAUUAAAUAUGGGCCUCGUGCUCAUCCUGGCAACAGGAACGACCAUAAAGAAGCCGUCGAGAGAUAUCGGAAGAGUUUUCUUUUCUGUUUUAUAGCCGUACUACCAUGGAAGUCUUUCGCAGAGAGAUAUGGUAGAUGGGCUAGAAGAGCAUGACAUAUACUGUUGUGUCGAUAUUUUCUCCUCGGACCUUGAAAAUUUAUGGUGGGGACACGCAAACUUCUCAACAGGCCGUACCAAUAUCCGCAGCUGGUCUCCAAGGUGAAGAGUCUCUAGUCGAUAGAAUAAUGUAGGUAAGGGAAGUCGGCAAAUUAGAUCCGUAACUUCGGGAUAAGGAUUGGCUCUGAAGAUUGAGAUAGUCGGGCUUGAUUGGGAAACAAUAACAUGGUUUAUGUGCUCGUUCUGGGUAAAUAGAGUUUCUAGCAUUUAUGUUAGUUACUUGUUCCCCGGAUAGUUUAGUUACGUAGCCAAUUGUGGAACUUUCUUGCUAAAAUUUUUAAGAAUACUAUUUGGGUUAAACCAAUUAGUUCUUAUCAAUUAUAACGAUUAUCAAUUAACAAUCAAUUCAGAACUGGCACGGACUUGGGGAAUC